rfam:Setaria italica strain Yugu1 chromosome I, whole genome shotgun sequence.
UAGGUUUGUCUUAAGUCAAACUUUCUCAACUUUGACCAAAUUUAUAGAGAAAAGUAUCAAUGUUUAUGGCAUCAAAUAGGUAUAUUAUAAAAAUACAUCUCAUGAUAAAUCUAAUGGCACUUAUUUCAUACCAUAAAUAUAUGUAGUUUUUUCUAUAAUCUUGGUCAAACUUAAAAAAGUUUGACUUAGGACAAUCCUAA